AAGAAAAUAGGAGUUUCAAUCUCUCAGCUUUUUGCACAUUUCACUAAAGGCUUGUAGAUGGUAGCUCAGGGACUGUGAUGUAGAAUGAAUUACUUUGACAGAAAGGCGUAACCUUGUGAAAGAUUUAUGUGAAUGUUGGUACAUGCUCUAUAUUGUAUUCUACUGGUAAGGAUGUGGAUAUAUUAUUUCCACCUUCCUAAAAAGGUGGGAGUUCAAAUAGUUAAUGUGGAGGCCAUCAGUGACCAAUUUGUCAUAGGAUUUUAUGAACUGGAUAGGGGUAGGAGAAGUCAUCUCUCUACAGCCUAGUUUAAUCUGACACCAUCUAUAUUCUUCUAGUAGAGAGUUUUGGUGAGAUAAUGAUAGGGAUGAGACAUCUUUUCCAUUAUUUGGAUGAUCUGAAGAAAUGUACUAGAGAGGAUCACAGUGUCAGAUAAAUUGAUUUGUGUAUAAGAGACUUUUUGAGUGAUAUGGUUUGGGGAAAGCAGGCAGGAGAAUAAUAAAGAAAAGGAGAAGGGAAACAUUUUAUUUUAAAAGAGGGCUUAUUUUGGUUUUCUCAAAUUCUCUGAAACUAUCAGCAGUUAUAAAGUACAGCAAGUUAGAUGAGCAGUCUCAGAGGAGUCAUUAAAUUAUCACAAUGGUAAAACUUGUAGAAAUCUUUAGGUUGAGUAGCUUGAUCCAUUUCUUUAAAAUUGUGUCUACUGCAGUCAGAAGAAAUUCUAAGUCUUCAGGGAACUUCCUGAUUAUAUUUGGAUCUCAGAAACAUUAUCUUGGAGGCAGCUGUGGGUCUCAAGACAUGACAAGAAGCAUUUCUCUGAAAAAUGACCUAGCUGGAGACACUCCUGCCUUAAGGCACAAGGUGAACUAAGUGAUCUUCUGAGAGUGGCCAAAGGUCUCCAGACCUUUGCAUGAGAUAUCUUAUUUAUCCAGAGUUUUAUUUCAGCCUUGUUUAAGAGUAUGCACUACAGUCUGCAUUAGAGAUAGUUAGUUAAAGAAAAUAAAGUGAUUUGUUAAGGACAAGAAAGUUAUAAAACAGUUGUUAAUAUUUCUCAAUGAAUGUAAAAAUGAGAUCCAUGUUUGAGAAAACACAUCGCAUAAGUGCCAUGUCAUCUUACCACUCAAAUUAAGAAGCAAGGUAUAUAUAUUUUUGCAUCA